rnacentral:lncRNA from 1 species
AUUCUUAAAAAUUAAAAAUCAAAAUUUAAAAAUAAAAAUUAAAAACUAAAAAUGUUCAUUGCUAGACAAACUAUGCUACAGAGGGUUGAUGAUUACUUCAAACCAGGUCUGUUAUUUUGCUGUAUGGUAUUUGAAUGCUGUAUGUUUUAACUAAUGGCUAUACAUUCCAAAGCAGUUUAAAGUUACAAUGGAAAUACAUAAUUGCUGUAUAUAGAAGCCUACACCAAUUUCAAUUCCAGCUUGAUCCAAAUAAUCCUUUUGCUACAAAAAAGCAUGGAUUAGAGCCUUUGCAGAAAGAAUUAACCAUCCAUUAUAGCAAUGAAGAAGAAAAAACCAAGGAAGAAAAAUGGAUCUUGACAUAAACCAUGGGUACAUCUAAAAGACAGUUAAGAAAAUAGUACAAAAAAAAAAAAAAAAAACAUUAGUAAUAGGAAAGAAGUAAUAGAAUACCAAGAAAUAUAAAAAGUUAAAUAAACAACUUAAUGUCAGGAUAAAGAAACAAUAAUGUACAGGAUGUACUAGACACAGCACAGUUUUAAUUUCAUCAGAAAUGAUAAGGAUAAAGUAAAGCCAGGAAAAAACUAAAUUGUGUAUAUGUUAU